AGCGUCUGGCCCCGCGCUGACUUCCUGUAUCCCAGAGUUCCACUCUUAGCACAACGUUGAUCUCCCACAGGGCCAAAUCCAUCUUAGUUUGCUCUCCUCCACUGGCCACAUUACUGCAGAAGAGAGGGGACAUGAGAGCCAUUUCCUGUCCCGGGGUGUGUGGCUCAGCACGAGAGCCGUCCAUCAGUCCUGUAUCUAUGGAAGUUGAUAAAUCACUGGGGGAUUCAGAGUUCACAUGGCUGCCAACAGCAGACACAAAGUUGGUGGCUGAGCAGGAGUCCGUUGAGACUGGAAUGUCCUCAUUGCGUUCAGCCUCAAGCACACUGCUUUCCUGAUGUGAUGUAUUGAGGGAACACUGAGUGGAGUUUGGGGACAGGUGUUGGAGCGCUGGGUGUCUGUCCCGGGGCUGUCUCGCACGACUCCACUGCAAGGUCAUUCUGAGGACUACACAAUCCAGUCAGUCCCUGUGGAAUGCUGCUGGUCUGACAUGACUGGAAAAUGCAUUGAUAGCUCAAUAGCUAUUUUUUCCCCUCUCUGUUUUCUUCCAGCAACUUAAAUUUUCAUUAUCAAAAGCUUUUUGGCUGAUGUCUCACUCACAGUGUCAAUGCACUCCUCAAGGGAGGGUUGUAGGCAAACAUGCAUAAUACAUAUGAAGCGUAAUCUCAAGUCAGUAACACAUUGGCACUCACUCCAUCCGUCCUCUGGCACUGGACGAGACCGCAGGCUCUGGCGUUGGGCCGCAUUCUUACUUAAGAGAUAUUUGCUAGGACAUACUCAAGUGUAGUGUGAUCAUAAAAUAGUGUCUCAGAAGGACAAGCAAUCAAACUUCAAGUAAAGUUUCUUGCAAGGCUUAAUUUUGUCGCACAAAAUAUAUAUUUAUUUUAUGAUAUGAUUCAUAUAGAAAACACAUUUCAUUUUAUUGUAUUUUUAUUUUGUUUAUGUAUUUGUUUUUAUAUUUUUUAUGUAUUUUAAAUAAAUAUUUAAUUUGUUUAAUUGUAUUUCA
ensembl:lncRNA